UCUCCGUAGGUGAACCUGCGGAGGGAUCAUUACUGAGUGAGGGCUUCGGUCCGACCUCCAACCCUUUGUGAACCAAACUUGUUGCUUCGGGGGCGACCCUGCCGCUUCGGCGGUGCGGCGCCCCCGGAGGCCAUUAAACACUGCAUCAUUGCGUCGGAGUUAAAGUAAAUUACACAAAACUUUCAACCACGGAUCUCUUGUUUCGAGCAUCUAUGAAGAACGCAGC
rnacentral:misc_RNA from 1 species